rnacentral:rRNA from 1 species
GGGGGAAGGUAGCUUGCUACUGGACCUAGCGGCGGACGGGUGAGUAAUGCUUAGGAAUCUGCCUAUUAGUGGGGGACAACAUCUCGAAAGGGAUGCUAAUACCGCAUACGUCCUACGGGAGAAAGCAGGGGAUCUUCGGACCUUGCGCUAAUAGAUGAGCCUAAGUCGGAUUAGCUAGUUGGUGGGGUAAAGGCCUACCAAGGCGACGAUCUGUAGCGGGUCUGAGAGGAUGAUCCGCCACACUGGGACUGAGACACGGCCCAGACUCCUACGGGAGGCAGCAGUGGGGAAUAUUGGACAAUGGGGGGAACCCUGAUCCAGCCAUGCCGCGUGUGUGAAGAAGGCCUUAUGGUUGUAAAGCACUUUAAGCGAGGAGGAGGCUACUUUAGUUAAUACCUAGAGAUAGUGGACGUUACUCGCAGAAUAAGCACCGGCUAACUCUGUGCCAGCCCCC